GACGAACGCUGGCGGCGUGCCUAAUACAUGCAAGUAGGACGCAGUUGCGAACGGGUGAGUAACGCGUAGGUAACUACCUAUUAGAGGGGGAUACCUAUUGGAAACGAUAGCUAAUACCGCAUACCUGUAGAUGGAUCUGCGUUGUAUUAGCCAGGAGGUAGGGUAAUGGCCUACCUAGGCAACGAUACAUAGCCGACAUGAGAGGAUGAUCGGCCAGACGGGGAGUGCGGCACGGCCCAGACUCCUACGGGUGGCAGCAGUAGGGAAUCUUGGGCAAUGGGGGGAGCCCUGACCGAGCAACGCGGCGUGAGUGAAGAAGGUCGUCGGAUGGUAAAGCUCUGUUGUUAAGGGAGCGGUACUUAAAGAGAAAGGGACGGCUAACUACGUGCCAGCAGCCGCGGUAAUAC
rnacentral:rRNA from 1 species